UUGUUAUGUGUACGCAGACAUAGAGAUAAUCGGCCAUUAAUCAAAAAAUUAAGCAUACUUCAUCCCAUAGGGUUUAACAGUUAUAUCUGGUUGACGCAUCGCGACGUGGCAGUUUUCAAUGGUCCUCAACGAUUGAAAUAUCUUAUUCAGGUUCUAUAUUUUUCCACAUAAGAUCAGUGUGAUUCAGUAAUGUUUUUUUGUUCUUUUCAUAUGGAAAUCAUUGUACACGUCAAUAACUGUUGGAAACUGUUCAAAACGUAUAUAUAUUGGAUAUAUAUAUAUAUACUUGGAACGUAAAUUUAGAUUUCUUGGAAAAUAUCUGGAAAGUAAGACUCUGCUUCUUACGAUAAAAACAUGGCGGUUGAUUUAUUUAACUAAUUAUACAAAACAAUUUAUAAAGCUAACUCAUCUUCCCCAUAAAGGAUAUAUGCAUGUACAUAGAACGAAGGUGGUAAUAUGAGCGCUAAUUUAUCUUCUUGCAAGAACGUGCAUACAUACAUAAAACAAAAAAAGCUUACUCGUGCAAUAUGUUCCGAUGUAAUCGUCGCUCAAACACUUCUGCCGUGGAACGAAAACAAAAACAUCGUACUCCGAGACCGAAGAAUCGAAAAUCUGCCAACCGACGUGCAAGUAUGCCAACGAAAAACAAAGCUGAGAACAUCAUACUUACAACUUACGUGCGAUAAAGAGCAAUGAAGGCGUUGAUGCAUCUGUCGCUUGGUCGAAAAUCUUGUCUCACACAUUCGGCACAGUUGACAUUAAACGCCUUGACGUUACUGAAGCGUAGUGCGAUCACAGGGAAAUUUGAGGUUAUGUUAAACGAACGUUAACAAUAACGUCGUAUUUAACGGCUGGCAUAUUAGUGUCGGGACAAGAGAGUGUAAACGCACGAUCCCCAAAGGAAAGACCACAUGAACGUCAACAGAACGUGGAUAUCUCGCGGUGUUCAGCAGCUCUGUUCCUUUUUUUCCUAACACCCUUCAUUUUUCCCUUUCUCUUUAUUUGUUUAAUCGUACGCCUCUCUACACGGCCAAGAUGGAUCGAACCAUGUGUAGAAAAAUUCGCUAGGAAGUAGAACGACAAUAAGAAGCCGUGGUCGGAGGGCGAAGUCGCGUUUGAGCCGCGAGUCGAGGAUUAAUGUGGUGUUGCCACUCCGCAGCUCUGCGCUGUUUACCGUGCGCACCCUCUUUAGUCCACCUUGCGCAUCGCGUCGAGCGCGGGAAGUUCAAACGACAAACCCGUAUUGAUUCUCUCGUUGAUAUAAUUUUUAUCAAAACACCAUGCGCGCGUAUAUUAAAAAUCCACGUUACAAUCUGUGCAAUCUUUGGCACACGCGUUAUUUUACGUAAUAGAAAAUAAUUGUAUGAAAUUUUCAGGUAUUCAAAUAUAUGUGAAGUAGGAAUCUAAUUCUUAUUAAAUCACGGAGUCACGAGAAGAAGAUUUAAGUAAAGAUUAACGGGAAAUUUGGAUUUUCAUAG